rnacentral:misc_RNA from 1 species
CGUAGGUGAACCUGCGGAAGGAUCAUUGAUGUCAACGCAAAAACACGACCUGUGCAUGUGUGAUCGAAUGCUGCCGGGGCGGCUGUGCGCCGUCCCUGCUCCCAGGCCACGGCGGUUGUGCCCCAGGGCACUGUCGUCGCGAGCCGAAUACGGCAUGGGGUCAUGCCAAGGUACACUCGAUGCGGAGGCUGGGAGGCUGCGCGCUGAUCGUGCGGCCCUCGGUCGAAGCUAAGGAAAACAUUAAGACUCUCGGCAACGGAUAUCUCGGCUCUCGCAUCGAUGAAGAACGUAGCGAAAUGCGAUACGUGGUGUGAAUUGCAGAAUCCCGUGAACCAUCGAGUCUUUGAACGCAAGUUGCGCCCGAGGGAUCUACCCGAGGGCACGCCUGCCUCAUGGGCGUUAGAAGCCCAUCCACGCUCGGGCGUCGAGCUCGACGCGGAUCUUGGCCCUCCGAGCCGAAAGGCACGGCGGGCUGAAGUGCGCCUCGGUCGAACGAGGCCGGGAGCGGCGAGUGGUGGGUCUCUUCGCACGCCGCCCCGAGCCUCUGUCGGCAUCGGGCUGUUUGUUUGACCCUACGACGAGGCGAUUGCUGAUGCGGCGUUAUUGCUGCGCGGCCUCCUCGGACCGAUACCCCAGGUCAGGCGGGGCUACCCGCUGAGUUUAAGCAUA